AUAACUGAACUCUACUUAUUAGUCGGAUAUGAAUUGGAGGUACAAGACAAGAAUGAAGUAAUAGGUUUUAUUUCUGUUACUCACAAACUAUAUGUACAACAUUGAGAAGCUCCUUGUGAAUCAAGCUUACAACAGUGAGCAUUAAAAAAACAUACUCUAUUCUUGCUAGCCGGUGUUGAGAACACCUUUGCAGCAAUUAGUAUUGAAAUGUUCUCCUUGAUAGGUUCAUGAAGAAUGCCAGAAAUGAGAAUCUCAUCGAGUAUUUAGACCUGAAAAUUUCACCAUUGGUACUCAUGGGAAUUUCUCAGUACUAAAAAGAAGGGUAUAGCUCACGCAAGAAAUUUCAUAUAACUCGAUUGCUGGUUCUUCGGUGUCAAAUUUCAGCAUAUAUGUGAAUAUUAAAUCGACCUCUCAUACCUAAAGAAAUUAGGGAAAUCACUAAGGUUGCAGUGUGGCUCCCGUGUCCUUGACAGUUUCGGCGCGCCCACCGCGUCCACGCCAGUUGUGGCGCGACCCCCACAUCCUUGGUGGAAGCCACGGUGCCCACAUCCACCUGCAUCCAUGUUUGGGCUGUACUGGAGCAUGCGGCGGCACUGGAGCAGCCACACACUUGUACCCGUCACUACUGCAUGUCAUUGCAGAUUAGAGAUAUAUAGUUUAGGAUCCAGAGACGGAACAAGAUACUUGGGCCGCCGGCACUGAUCCAAAAAUACCUAGGAGCAAACCCCAGCAGCAGGCCCUUCAUCCUUUUCAAGGCUGUCUACUGCCUCACGCUACUCCUUUUCUCACUUACCUCCACCGGCACUCACCUCCCGCUGGUGCCAUCGGUCAUGCCCUUCGUCCGACAACAAAAAUAAUUUGUUGUCAAUAUAUAUUGCCAAUUAGGCAUGAACAAUCAUUAGAAACUCAAAAUUCAAUUACUCUAAAAGAACAAGCUCGAUAUCAGAUUACUUGAUCUUUCUUAGAGAAAAAAAAUACUAAACCAAGCUUCAUUAUAAGGUUCAGAUUUAUUUUAGGGUAGAGAGACUUUAGAUGGUUUCUAUUUCCCUAAAUUCUAAGCCCAAUGUGCCUCUAUGUCCCUGUUUCUUACCUCCUCACUCACCGACCAGAUCAAGAAGAAGCACCCAGAUCAUGUUUCAAGUAUUUUAAAUUUAAAGGGCAAAAAAAAGUUAACAUCAAAAUAAUCUCGAAUAACAAUGUCACCGCCAAUACCAAAAUUGAGAAGUACACUAGAUGGUCUAUUCGAAUUUGUGAGAUUAUGAUAUAUCUAUAAGUUAUUCAGAGAUAGUUUUGUAAUUAACAGAAUAAGAUAAAUUAUGCUACAACACAUUGCAUGUGGAACUUAAGCAGUACCCCUUAAAAUUAUCUUAAAGAAAAAUGAGUAUAGAUACUCGGCAUAUACUGCUCCGAAAUCUAAAUGGACUAUUUUUUGUAAUGAAGAGAUAUAUUUUACUGCAACACAAGGAUGAAUGAUAUUUUCUGACCUUUAGGCCAUGUUUGUUGGACAACAUUUUCUACAUUAGACAAGCACAAACUGAAAAUCUAGAGCUAAGAUGUACAUGUAAUAGUUAGUUUACACUCUUUCAUACCAAAGUAUAUGAUUUGAUCACUUCCAAGUUUGAACAUUACCUUGUCUAGUUCAUCAGAUAGAAAAACAUUACCUUGUCUAAGACCUCACUUCUGAUAACGUUUAGGUGCAGACCUUUGCUCAUAUACACUUUCUGAAGUAGGAUUUGGAUCUGGAAGGUUAUCACAUAGAAAUUCAAUUCAAUUAGAAAAUACUGAUAAUACCACAAGGAAUAGGCAGGAACCAUUAAAAAAUAUGUGACUGCAUCCUAGCUCGUGCUUCUCCAAAUUAAACCAUGUCACUCACCUGAAAAACUUCUAGAUUGCGACCAAUGCCACAAUUUAUGUCGUCAUCUACUAAAAACUCUGUGCAAGCUCAUGUACUUCUCCGUGAUUAAAUUUUAUUAGUUUACCCAUGCUAAAUUAUGUAUAAAAACCAAGGUAAGAACUUUUCAAAGGUAAAGAAGUAUAGAACAACAUGCAGCCUGAUCUUCUCAAAACACGCACUAAGUAAAAUAGCAAUAAUAGGGGUGGAGGUGGGAAGGCCAUGGAAAUAAAAGGUAGAUUGGAUCGAACCUGCUCUGAACAGGUCAUCAGAGUCAGUCCUGCUGCGUGAGGCGGCAAAGCUCGACAGCAGAUGGCCAUCUUGACCCUGAAGGUGCACAGCGCCUCCACAGGACACACACGCCCAACUCACUACAUACAGCACUCAAUACGAUACAAUCAAUGGAGGUAACUACAAAAUACACAACAAACCUUGUGUGC
rnacentral:lncRNA from 1 species